rnacentral:rRNA from 1 species
CCUACGGGUGGCUGCAGUGGGGAAUAUUUCACAAUGGGGGAAACCCUGAUGCAGCGACGCCGCGUGCGUGAGGUAGUAUUUCGGUAUGUAAAGCUCUAUCAGCAGGGAAGAAAAUGACGGUACCUGACUAAGAAGCCCCGGCUAACUACGUGCCAGCAGCCGCGGUAAUACGUAGGGGGCAAGCGUUAUCCGGAUUUACUGGGUGUAAAGGGGACGUAGACGGCUAAUCAAGAUAGAUGUGAAAACCGAGGGCUCAACAUUGAGACUACUUUUGAAACUGAGUAGCUAGAGUGCCGGAGAGGUAAGCGGAAUUCCUAGUGUAGCGGUGAAAUGCGUAGAUAUUAGGAGGAACACCAGUGGUGAAGGCGGCUUACUGGACUGUAACUGACGUUGAGGCUCGAAAGCGUAGGGAGCAAACAGGAUUAGAUACCCUUGUAGUC